UCCUGGUGGUUCCAAUGGUAAAGAAUCUGCCUGCAAAGCAGGAGACCCAGGUUCAAUCCCUGGGUCAGGAA
rnacentral:tRNA from 1 species